rnacentral:rRNA from 2 species
UUAAGCAUAUCACUAAGCGGAGGAAAAGAAACUAACAAGGAUUCCCUUAGUAACUGCGAGUGAACAGGGAUUAGCCCAGCACCGAAGCCUGUGGUUAUUUGACUACUAGGCAAUGUGGUGUUUAGGUUGGUUCUUGGCAUUACUGCUCUACCCUAAGUCCAGCAAUGAGUACGGCUUACUAGUCUGGCCCAUAGAGGGUGAAAGGCCCGUGGGGGUGGAGAUCAAGUGUGUCAGUUUUGCUCUGAGCUAACCUUGGAGUCGGGUUGUUUGUGAAUGCAGCCCAAAGUGGGUGGUAAACUCCAUCCAAGGCUAAAUACUAACACGAGUCCGAUAGCAAACAAGUACCGUGAGGGAAAGUUGAAAAGUACUUUGAAGAGAGAGUAAACAGUGCGUGAAACUGCUCAAAGGUAAACGGGUGGAGUUGAACUGCAAGCUUUGGGAAUUCAGCUGAUGAGUAUGGCUAGCGUUCAGGCUUGUUGGCCGUCCCUGAAUGUCUGUCUAAUGGCAGGUGCCUUCCCUUUGGGUUGGUAUGUGUGUUGCGCUUAUCAUGUGCCACACGCAUUUGGGGUAAUGGGUCUGCUUGUCAGUGCACUUUCUCAGAGUGUUCACCACGACCGGCACUGCUGUCUGUCUGCAUUAGUCAAACUGGUCAGGUCUGGUUAUCGCUAGGCUUGGUUGGGAUGGCAGGUAGCUCGAGUGUUCCUUUAUUGGACUUUGAGUGUAAUGAGCUGACCAUUGUGGAUCUGUACGGUGUGUCGGAGAUGACGGCUUUGCAUGCGUGCUCUGUCCUUCGGGCGAGAUUGAGUCCGGUUGGCUUGUUACUGACUUCGGUUAGUCUGUCGAUGGCUUAGUCUUGUUCAGUUGGCGGUUGCGUGUGUAACUUGGUUUGGGCCAAUAGUCUGUGGUGUAGUGGUAGACGAUCCACCUGACCCGUCUUGAAACACGGACCAAGGAGUUUAACAUAUGCGCGAGUCAUUGGGCACUACGAAACCCAAAGGCGAAGUGAAGGUAAAGGUUUGGCUUGUCUGAACUGAGGUGAGAUCCUGUUGGUUUGCCUAGUAAAUAUCUGAACAGCGAACAGCGGGCGCAUCACCGGCCCGUCCCAUGGCGUAGACAUAUGACCUUGUGUUGUGUGCACCGUCGGGGCGGAGCAAGAGCGCAUACGUUGAGACCCGAAAGAUGGUGAACUAUGCUUGCUAAGGUUGAAGCCAGAGGAAACUCUGGUGGAGGACCGCAGCGAUUCUGACGUGCAAAUCGAUCGUCUAAAGUGAGUAUGGGGGCGAAAGACUAAUCGAACUAUCUAGUAGCUGGUUCCCUCC